rnacentral:rRNA from 1 species
AGAACUUGAAACCGUGUGCUUACAAGUAGUCAGAGCCCGUUAAUGGGUGAUGGCGUGCCUUUUGUAGAAUGAACCGGCGAGUUACGAUCUGAUGCAAGGUUAAGCAGAAAAUGUGGAGCCGUAGCGAAAGCGAGUCUGAAUAGGGCGAAUGAGUAUUUGGUCGUAGACCCGAAACCAGGUGAUCUACCCUUGGUCAGGUUGAAGUUCAGGUAACACUGAAUGGAGGACCGAACCGACUUACGUUGAAAAGUGAGCGGAUGAACUGAGGGUAGCGGAGAAAUUCCAAUCGAACUUGGAGAUAGCUGGUUCUCUCCGAAAUAGCUUUAGGGCUAGCCUCAAGUGAUGAUUAUUGGAGGUAGAGCACUGUUUGGACGAGGGGCCCCUCUCGGGUUACCGAAUUCAGACAAACUCCGAAUGCCAAAUAAUUUAACUUGGGAGUCAGAAUGUGGGUGAUAAGGUCCAUAUUCGAAAGGGAAACAGCCCAGACCACCAGCUAAGGUCCCAAAAUAUAUGUUAAG